rnacentral:lncRNA from 1 species
GAGCUAAUUAAAAAAAAUACAAAGUGUUGUGUCCGGAUCCAUAUGCAAAGUCUAUACGUUGUGGGAAAAGUUAGGGGUUUUAAGGAAAAUCUAAUAUGUAACGCUGAGCGCGGUCACAAUUUUUUUUGUGUGGCCAUCGAUGGGGGCGUACCUUGUUGACGAUGAUGAUCUGGUGGAGCAAUCGGUUGAUGAUUUUGUAAUUGAGGUGUUAUCAUCAUCAUCGACGAAGGCGGAGGUAAAGUUGAAUACUGAGAGAUGAAACGGCCGUAAACAUCAUCAUCCGUCGGAGUGGUUCCGAUGGUCUGAUGGUUAGUGUUGCCAUAGCUACUACUUUGACUUUCAUAAUCACGAUCUUCUUCUUCUUCUUGUGUUGGUACUUGCUUCUGCUCCCAGAUGAAUCGUUCAUUAUCCAUGAUCCGAAGUUGAAUAAUUGAUAUUUAACUUGUGGUAUCUGGAUCUGCUAGCUGCAUAUAAACUCGAUCUGUAGUUUUCAGUAGUGACACAAGAUGCAUAUGUUCGCAUAAGAGGCUGCGGUAUUUUGAAUGGUGAUACCUAGCUCUAGAGGUUAGCUUGGUCCUUAUUAUAUACUGCUUUCCUAGCUAUCACCUUCCUAAUAUAAUAUUUAUUUGAGUAAAAAUACGUAACUUUAUAUUCAUUGGCUACUUCAACAAUAUUAUCGUAUCUCCAAAUUCUAAGUAAAUUAUUAAAAUCUUAAUUAACGCGGUCAAGUCCAACACUUGAACGGGCAUGAAUUGAAGUAAAACUUAAAUAUGAGCACGAAUUUGAGUUUUACACGUUAAACUCAUAGGUUUAAACAAACAAAGGUAUAUAGGUAUUAUAAUAUAUGUAUAAGAAAAAAAUUUAAUGUGAAAAAAAGAGAAAUCAAAACACACAAUAGUAAAAUGCUUAAUUUAUUUCUUCUUCUGUUAGUUUUCUCUCUGAUUAAUUGGUCAUUAGUUUAUUUUUUCUUCUAUUAUUCUCUUUGAUUAAUUAGCCAAAAACAUUUGUUAGUGCUCUAGUGAUGAUCACGGGUAUUUAAGUUCCACGUAUAGUGGGUCCGGGUGAGUUUUCCCCUCCAGAUCUCAAGUUCGAGUCUGGGUAAUAGGGGUUUCUAAUUGAGGGGUUUAAAUUGAGGAUCUAUUGUGCGAGUGGGCUCUCUAACACGGAUCUGGUUAAGACACUUUAUGCUAGACCUCCUGACAUUCGCGAAUAAUUCACAC